GGACCAUUUAGCUCAGUGGCAGAGCAACUGCUUGGCAUGCAGAAGGUCCCAGGUUCAAACCCCAGUGGGAUCUCCA